rnacentral:tRNA from 1 species
GAGGCACUAGUAUAAAGACAGCACACUACUUUGUCAAGGUAGAAUUGCAGGUUAAACCCCUGCGUGCCUCA